rnacentral:rRNA from 1 species
UACAGAGGGUGCAAGCGUUGUUCGGAAUUACUGGGCGUAAAGCGCGUGUAGGCUGCGUCAUAAGUCGGAUGUGAAAGCCCUCAGCUUAACUGAGGAAGUGCAUCCGAUACUGUGGUGCUUGAGUGUCGGAGGGGGUGGCGGAAUUCCCGGUGUAGAGGUGAAAUUCGUAGAUAUCGGGAGGAACACCUGUGGCGAAGGCGGCCACCUGGACGACGACUGACGCUGAGACGCGAAAGCGUGGGUAGCAAAC